rnacentral:rRNA from 1 species
AGUGAACGCUGGCGGUAGGCCUAACACAUGCAAGUCGAACGGCAGCACAGGAGAGCUUGCUCUCUGGGUGGCGAGUGGCGGACGGGUGAGGAACACAUCGGAAUCUACUCUGUCGUGGGGGAUAACGUAGGGAAACUUACGCUAAUACCGCAUACGACCUACGGGUGAAAGCAGGGGAUCUUCGGACCUUGCGCGAUUGAAUGAGCCGAUCUCGGAUUAGCUAGUUGGCGGGGUAAAGGCCCACCAAGGCGACGAUCCGUAGCUGGUCUGAGGGGAUGAUCAGCCACACGGGAACUGAGACAAGGUCCAGACUCCUACGGGAGGCAGCAGUGGGGAAUAUUGGACAAUGGGCGCAAGCCUGAUCCAGCCAUACCGCGUGGGUGAAGAAGGCCUUCGGGUUGUAAAGCCCUUUUGUUGGGAAAGAAAUCCAGCUGGCUAAUACCCGGUUGGGAUGACGGUACCCAAAGAAUAAGCACCGGCUAACUUCGUGCCAGCAGCCGCGGUAA